AGUGAACGCUGGCGGUAGGCCUAACACAUGCGAGUCGAACGGCAGCACAGUAAGAGCUUGCUCUUACGGGUGGCGAGUGGCGGACGGGUGAGGAAUACAUCGGAAUCUACUUUUUCGUGGGGGAUAACGUAGGGAAACUUACGCUAAUACCGCAUACGACCUACGGGUGAAAGCAGGGGAUCUUCGGACCUUGCGCGAUUGAAUGAGCCGAUGUCGGAUUAGCUAGUUGGCGGGGUAAAGGCCCACCAAGGCGACGAUCCGUAGCUGGUCUGAGAGGAUGAUCAGCCACACUGGAACUGAGACACGGUCCAGACUCCUACGGGAGGCAGCAGUGGGGAAUAUUGGACAAUGGGCGCAAGCCUGAUCCAGCCAUACCGCGUGGGUGAAGAAGGCCUUCGGGUUGUAAAGCCCUUUUGUUGGGUAAGAAAAGCAGCAGGUUAAUACCCCGCUGUUCUGACGGUACCCAAAGAAUAAGCACCGGCUAACUUCGUG
rnacentral:rRNA from 1 species